ACUUAAAUAGUUUAAUUAAAAACUUUGAUUUGUGGGAUCAAAAAUGUAAUUUUAAUAUUAUUUUAAGUU
rnacentral:tRNA from 1 species